rnacentral:pre_miRNA from 1 species
CGGAAGGGACGAUAAUGCCCACUUCUUUCAGGGUAGCUGUGAGGAUGGUAGACCGGUGACAUACACUUCAUUUAUGCUGUAGGUCACGUGUUUUACUAUCCACCAGCACCCAGACCAUCUG